ensembl:lncRNA
AUGUCGUUGUUGUUUGUUCUUGACCUGUUACUGUAUCAGUUCCUGUCCGAAUGGCCUUCUGUAUCUCCUGCUGAUAUCACAGCAGAGCUGGAUGUGCUUGCACAGCGCUUUCUUGACCUGACACACUGCUUCCACGCCGAGCUACAGGCCCAGAAGGACUCCGAUUCAGGGACCUUGCAUGAGAGAGAAUAUGAGUCCUUGCUGAUGCUGGAGGGUUUGGAGAGGAUGACGGCAGAACUUACUACGUGUGCUGAUCAUCGAAAGAAAGGCAAUGUCCGAUAGCCUUGCAUCUUACUGGAGCUCUCGUCCCGAAGCCGCUCUACCCAGUGCCAUGGUUCUGCGUGGCUUGUACUCGCUGCUGGCGGAGGGAGGAGUUCAGUUCCCAUCGCUGGUUUUGGAUUCGGAGUCAGAUUGAGCAAAAACAAGACUGCAUUUCAGGGUUAGUUGAUUGGAUUCCAUGAAGCACAGCAAGGAAGUUUUCCUGCAAACUGACACAAAGCUGUUCUCCAGACCUCUUAUUCUGUGAGAGACUGUAAGCGUGCUUCGUUGUAUGCAUUUGACUCGGAUGUUUAACAAAGUGCCUCUUAAUUGGUCCCAUGACUGGAGACGUGAUGAGAGAGUGCAGCUGCUUUUAAGAAACGCGAAUAAAGCUUCCAGCUGACGUCUCUCA